AUCAUGGUAGUCUACUAAAAGUUAAGAUAAGUUUAAUAUGUGAGUGGAACAUUUAAGUGCUAAUUAUUAAAUUAGCUUUACGUUUGACUCAUUCGUGAUAUACUUUUUCUUUGGCUAAGCCAAGAAAGGAGAGGGAUAAGGACAGGGAGAAGCAGCCCACAGAAACCACACACGCUUACGAAAGUGCGGAAUACAAACCAAAUACGAGUACAAGGACAACCACAUAAUGACUUUGAUGUAGAGUUUCUCGGACAAAGUUUUACCAAAGAAAAUAUGGAAAAUUAACUUGUUAGCCAGCCCAUCAACCGCACACUCUCGCAUACACUCGGAAAAUACAUGUGGGUGUAUGCAAUAGAGUAUAAGAGUGUGUGUGUUGUCGGACAUGCUCGUAAGCAAACAUUUGACUAUACGCAUUGUGGCAUAUUCUCUUUUGGGACAAAGGCCACAAAAAGGUGGGCAAGUCAAUUUGACAAAGCAGAUGACAUGACAGAAUAUAAAGUGAAAGAGGCAAAACCAGGAGAUAACAAUGGAAAAGUGAAAUGAAACUGGCAAAACAUUUGCGAACAGUUUUAAUUAAAUCUGCGACGAGUUCUUAAAGUGACGAGUCACAUGCAAAAUUGCGCUCAAUUAUUACCUAUGUUUCUUUGGAUUUCCCCUCAAUUCAACAAACAGCAAACACACAACAAAUACCAAACACCUUUUCGAGCGAAGCAGCUGGAAAAGGUGAAAGAGUUGUGAUUCGAUAUCGAGUGUGGCUUUUGUGACUCAAUUACAAUAAGUCUAUUAAACUUAUGUCUGCGGUUUGUCUAGACCAGAGACGGGAGAAGGCAGCCCGGUUGCCGAUCAGUCACAAUGUCUAGGUCCGGGCACUGGGGUUGAACAGAAGAGUCGACGAGCAGAAGUGCAGACGAGCAGACGAGCGCGUGCCCCUUUUGACUUUCGACUGGUUCUUUGUGCCACCAUCUAACAACAGAGCCUGCCACAGCCAAAGGAUCAAGAAGAUGAUGAUGAUGAUUUGAUGAUGAUAAUGGUGCGAAGGUGUUCCAGCUGCCGGUAUGGACUCUGUCUCGAUUUCACUUUCGCUACGCCGUUGCCACAUACUAUACAUAUUUCAAAUGAAAACGUGGUCCUUGAUCGUUGCUCUUUUCCUUUCUCCCGUUUACCUCGCUCUGUCCUUCUCCCCUCAUCAUUAUUUUUUUUGUGGCAUCAUCGGCUGCGGUUUUGAUUACGUAUUUAUGGAGUGCACAAUGGACGGCAGGACGCCUGCAAAAGGAGUAAACAUUUUGAAGUAGCGCCGUUUCGAAAAUGCUUUAUAGGUUUGUCAGCGAUCGAAAUAUAUAAAUGUUCGACUGUCCGUCUAUCUCUCCACCUCUUUUAUGCGUUUUGUCAACAUAUCAUAUUACGCCCCCGUCCCAGGAUUACGAUGAGACUAUGCCCAUAAUCGCUAAUGACAAUACAAAUUGAGAGUGGAGAGCGAAGAGCUCUCUGCAGCGGCUUUGUUGGUUUUUCUGGGAAGCCUCAGACAGGCACUGACAGCCGGCGCAUCGUGCUUAAAAAUUUGUAAACAAUAUAUGUAUUUGUUUAGCAUUUAAGUGAAUUUUGAACGCCUGGAACGAGUUUCACAAUCGUCUGUUUUUUUCGGGGGGUUGUUCGAGCUUGCCACCUUGAAUCCAUCGAUUAAUAUUCGUGGAAAUGCAAAACAACGAAAAGACUGUGGCAUUGUAUGAUAUUAAGCGGUAAUUAAAGACAGCCUUGCAUUUUGUGUAAACUCGAAAACGUCAAGUUGAUCAACAAAGAUCAUAAAAAAAUUGCAGGGGCUCGAGAUUCCAAAUUUGCGUGCGAGACUUUUUUUUUGUAAUUCUACUUCUCUUGUCAAAUCAUUCAGUCAUAUCUUAUUUUUUAAAAUUUUUCUGAGAAUAAACAGUUGUAAUCAAAAUUUUUAAUGUAUUUUUAUAAGUUUUCUAAAUAAUUAAUUACGUGAAACGGCGCCUACACCUCGACAGAAUAAAACGAGGAAUGACAAUGCUAAAAGGCAUCACUAUGUAUUAAGGAACAACACCGAUAAACUGUCCAGCAGUAUAGCAAGUAUUAAGCAACCCUCUGGGUGCAGUGAGGGGCGCCACCCUCUGUCAGUUAGUCAAUAAGCGACGUCGUGCAACACGAUCCAUCAUCAACAUUCAAGUUGAAAGCUGUACAUAAAUAACCAGUGAAGAGCUACUACUAUUGGUGAAAUACGAUGCCUCGAUGACAACAGAAAGUAGACGUCACACAUCAUUGCUCCCUCCAAAGGUUGGAUCAGGGGACUACAGGAGGUAUCAUUCUGUUGCCAGAUGACUGACAGAUCAACGUCACAGAGCAGCCCACAGCAUGAGAUGAGUUUUUAGCGCAGCUUGCGAUCGGCACGCGACAUUGGAAAAGCUGCCUCAUGGCAGCAGGAAAUACUUUCAACAUAUUUCAAUAUGCAACGCCACGGGAUCAGGUCAAAUUAUUAAAACUGAUGAUGAGGCUGCUGCAAAUGGUUUUCUCGCGAGCUUAUCAAUGUGUUUUCAUUAGGAUAUCAACCCCAAAUGGACGCCUCAUUCCACUUUAAUUUCGCCUCUGCUUCAGAACAGCUAUAGCAUUUCAAAUUCCCU